UUAUAAAAUAUAACCAAAAUUUAAAACAACACCCUAAGCCUGGGCUCCGUGUAGUUUAACUUUUUUAACGCAGUAGUUGCUUUUUUCUUUUUCUUUUCUUUAAAAAGUUUUUUAAAAAACAAAUUGACCGUUGUGUUAUGCUUGUCGGCGUCCUUUUAACGCAGUCUGAAUUUCUUUAUCUCCCCUUUAAAAGCAAACUGACCGUGCGAUUAGAUUAAAACCCCACAAAAGUUUUCCAAUUCUCCUCUUCAGACCACCUUCUUCCUUUCUUUCGUCUUUCUUUUACUUUCAAAAAGUUUUCAACGUUCUUUGUUUUCAGAUCUGGCCUUGCCCAGAGAGAAGGAGAGAGAUACAAGCACAAAAGAGAGAGAGAAAAAGGGGAAAAAGACAGAAACGAGGUCUGAAACCCCUCCAUUCUCUUCAAUGUGGAGAGGGAAAGAAAAGAAUAUCAGAAAGAGGUAAGGAAGAAGAUGGUAGAAAACAAAUUAGAAUGGUAAUCUUUCUAGCAUUCUAUUUCUUUUUCAGUUUCUUGAGAGCAAAGAAUCAAAUAGAGAAAGAAAAGAAGAACAAAGAAAGAAGGAAAAAAAAAGAAGAUCGAAAAGAAGAUAGAUAGGUUUCUCUUAAAGACCCAACACUGCCUAGUCAUUCUGUUAAAUUUCAAUCUCUCUUGUUCUCACAAGCCUUGCCCAGAGAGAAGUUGAGAAGUACGAGCAUAGCAGAGAGAGAAUAAGGGGAAAAAAAAGAAGAUCGAAAAGAAGAUAUAUGGGUUUCUCUUAAAGACCCAACACUACUUAGUCAUUCUGUUAAAUUUCAAUCUCUCUUGUUCACAAGCCUUGCCCAGAGAGAAGGUGAGAAGUACGAGCAUAGCAGAGAGAGAAAAAGGGGAAAAAGACAGAAACGAGCAGACAUGGAUCUGCAAUAGUUGCUUUUUUCUUUCUUUUUCUUUUCUUUAAAAAGUUUUUUAAAAAACAAAUUGACCGUUGUGUUAUGCUUGUCGGCGUGCGCAGUCUGAAUUUCUUUAUUUUCCCUUUAAAAGCAAACUGACCGUGCGAUUAGAUUAAAACCCCACAAAAGUUUUCCAAUUCUCCUCUUCAGACCACCUUCUGCCUCUCUUUUACUUCCAAAAAGUUUUCGACGUUCUUUGUUUCCAGAUCUGGCCUUGCCCAGAGAGAAGGAGAGAGAUACAAGCACAAAAGAGAGAGAAAAAGGGGAAAAAGACAGAAACGACCAGACAUGGAUCUGAAACCCCUCCAUUCUCUUCAAUGUGGAGAGGGAAAGAAAAGAAUAUCAGAAAGAGGUAAGGAAGAAGAUGAUAGAAAACAAAUUAGAAUGGUCAUCUUUCUAGCAUUCUAUUUCUUUUUCAGUUUCUUGAGAGCAAAGAAUCAAAUAGAGAAAGAAAAGAAGAACAAAGAAAGAAGGAAAAAAGAAGAUCGAAAGGAAGAUAGAUAGGUUUCUCUUAAAGACCCAACACUGCCUAGUCAUUCUGUUAAAUUUCAAUCUAUCUUGUUCACAAGCCUUGCCCAGAGAGAAGGUGAGAAAUACAAACAUAAUAGAGAGAGAAAAAGGGGAAAAAGACAGAAACGAGCAGACAUGGAUCUGAAACUCUCCGUUCUCUUCAAGGGAGAUCGAAAAGAAGAUCGAUGGGUUUCUCUUCAAGACCCAACACUACUUAUUCAUUCUGUUAAAUUUCGAUCUCUCUUGUUCACAAGCCUUGCCCAGAGAGAAGGUGAGAAGUACGAGCAUAGCAGAGAGAGAAAAAGGGGAAAAAGACAGGAACGAGCAGACAUGGAUCUGAAACUCUCCAAUUCUCUUCAAUGUGGAGAGGGAAAGAAAAGAAUAUCUGAAAGAGUUUACUGGGAGUAAAGAGCCAAAUAGAGAAGGAAAAGAAGAGCAAAGAAAGAGGGAAGAAGAAGAUCGAAAGAAGAGAUAUGUCUUUCUCUUCAAAGACCCAACGGUAGCCGGAGUAUGAUGAGAUGUUCCCUUCACUAUUCAGUGAUCUUCCUAAUAUAUUUCCUCCACACCUGUCGACAUGGGCUAGUGAACUUUGGCACUGAAAUAGCAUGAAAGGUAUGUCCGCAGACGGGAAGCUGAGAACUUGCUCAAUUCCAGUUGGUGGCUUUCUUUUGAAUCUAAUUCUAAAAGAUAAUACAUAGUUUGAAUACAAUAACAGUUAAAAGUAAUUUGUAAUUGAAAGAAAAGUUUGGUAAAUAAAAGUAUCAAGUAAAGAUAGUUUAUAAGAUAACAUCACUAGUAGAACAUGAAGAAGAGUUUGGAGCAUCGGAGUUAGGCAUUAGGUUAAUACACCUCGAAAUAAAUAUACUUAUUUGCUGCAUUAAGUGUGUGUAUUGGAUCCUAAUAGUUUAUGUAAUGUGGCUUGUGAACGUAUUGCAAAAAUGCUGCACUUGCACUGAAAAAACAAUUUUUUUUGGCACCCAAAAUAAAUCUACUGCAAGAUUAUAUCAAUGAAUUUUUCAACUACAUAAUUUAAUAAAAAAAAUGCGAAAUGUAGAUGGAGAGCUAAGUUUCCUUACUUCAUUAAAAAAUUAAUAGUUUUUAAAAUACAUAAAAUUCUGCGACUGAAAAAUUCUAACUUAAAGAUUUAUCACAUGUUAGC